rnacentral:pre_miRNA from 1 species
AGCUGGUGUUGUGAAUCAGGCCGUGGAAUGAUUCCGACCGUUUCGCGACACCAGGGC